rnacentral:rRNA from 1 species
AACGAACGCUGGCGGCGCGCCUAAUACAUGCAAGUCGAGCGAGAAGACGUAGCAAUACGUUUGUAAAGCGGCGAACGGGUGAGGAAUACAUGGGUAACCCACCCUCGAGUGGGGAAUAACUAGCCGAAAGGUUAGCUAAUACCGCGUACGCUCCUCGGACUUCGGUUCAGGGAGGAAAGCGAUACCGUGGGUAUCGCGCUCUUGGAUGGGCUCAUGUCCUAUCAGCUUGUUGGUGAGGUAACGGCUCACCAAGGCUUCGACGGGUAGCUGGUCUGAGAGGACGAUCGGCCACACUGGCACUGCGACACGGGCCAGACUCCUACGGGAGGCAGCAGUAAGGAAUAUUGCGCAAUGGGCGAAAGCCUGACGCAGCGACGCCGCGUGGGGGAUGAAGGUCUUCGGAUUGUAAACCCCUUUCGGGAGGGAAGAUGGAACGAGCAAUCGUUCGGACGGUACCUCCAGAAGCAGCCACGGCUAACUUCGUGCCAGCCGCCGCAGUAAC